UCACCGUAGGAUACGCCUCUUCUUCCUCUGCGGGCUGCGGCCUCACCCAUGAGUAGCGCCGCCGGCCUCCGCAUCUCCUGCGCCGUCACCCCCUUUGUCCUUGACGCGCCACCGCGUGCGCGAGCUUCCCCGGCCGCCGCUCGAAUAGCCAAUCCAAGUCGCAUCAGCUCGACGCCUUUCGCCUUGUCCGACGACCUCCUCCCUCUGGACCGGCUCCGGGGGAUGACUUCGAAUGGGUGGGAGGCGCAGAGGUCGGAGAACUUCGAGCAGGUUAGCAGUGCAAUUACACAUUCGCAGCUCCUCGAAUCAGUCAAGAAGUCGAUUCAAUGCUAAUUACAGUACAGCUUUCGGUCAGUCAACGUUUGGCGCCCCACAU
rnacentral:lncRNA from 1 species